GACAGAGGGGGCAAGCGUUGCUCGGAAUUACUGGGCGUAAAGGGCGUGUAGGCGGAGCGGCAAGUCGGUCGUGAAAGCCUCUGGCUCAACUAGAGAACGCCGACCGAUACUGCCGCCCUUGAGGGUAGCAGAGGAGACUGGAAUUCCCGGUGUAGCGGUGAAAUGUGUAGAGAUCGGGAGGAACACCGGUGGCGAAGGCGGGUCUCUGGGCUACUCCUGACGCUGAGGCGCGAAAGCGUGGGGAGCAAACGGG
rnacentral:rRNA from 1 species